CACGUAGGGUGCGAGCGUUGUCCGGAAUUAUUGGGCGUAAAGAGCUCGUAGGCGGUGUGUCGCGUCGGCCGUGAAAACCUGCAGCUUAACUGUGGGCUUGCGGUCGAUACGGGCAUCACUGGAGUUCGGCAGGGGAGACUGGAAUUCCUGGUGUAGCGGUGAAAUGCGCAGAUAUCAGGAGGGAACACCGGUGGCCGAAGGCGGGUCUCUGGGCCGAUACUGACGCUGGAGGAGCGGAAAAGCGUGGGGAGCGAACAGG
rnacentral:rRNA from 1 species